rnacentral:lncRNA from 1 species
AGGGGCCUCGAGGGCUCGAAUACAAGAGCUCGAUCAUAGACAAGUCAGCGGAAGCAACAAAAUUUCUAAGUACAGACAUAAGUUAAACAAGUUUGCCUUAAGAAUGCUAGCACAAACUGGGAUACAGAUUGAAAGAGGCGCAUGCCUCCUCCCUGGGAUCCACCUAAACUACUCCUGGUCGUCGUCAGCGGGCUGCACGUAGUAGUAGGCACCUCCCGAGUAGUAGUAGUAGUAGUAGUCGUCAUCGACAGUGGCGUCUGGCUCCUAGACUCCAACGUCUGGUUGCAGCAAUCAGAUAUAGGAAAGGGAAAAAGGGGGAGAAAAGCAAACGUGAGUACUCAUCCAAAGUACUCGCAAGCAAGGGGCUACACUACAUAUGUAUGCAUUGGUAUCAAAUGAAAAAGGGGGUAUCUUAUGUGGACUGAACUGUAGAAUGCCGGAAUAAGAAGGGGGAUAGCUAGUCCUAUCGAAGACUACGCUUCUGACAGCCCCCGCCUUGCAACAUGUAGAAGAGAGUAGACUGAAGUCCUCCAAGUAUCAUCGCAUAGCAUAAUCCUAACCGAUGAUCCUCCCCUCGUCGUCCUAUAAGAGAGCGAUCACCGGUUGUAUCUGGCACUUGGAAGGGUGUGUUUUAUUAAGUAUCCAGUUCUAGUUGUCAUAAGGUCAAGGUACAACUCCAAGUCGUCCUGUUACCGAAGAUCACAACUAUUCGAAUAGAUUAACUUCCCUGCAGGGGUGCACCACAUAACCCAACACGCUCGAUCCCAUUUGGCCGGACACACUUUUCUGGGUCAUGCCCGGCCUCGGAAGAUCAACACGUCGCAACCCUACCCAGGCACAACAGAGAGGUCAGCACGCCGGUCUAAAUCCUAUGGCGCAGGGGUCUGGGCCCAUCGCCCAUUGCACACCUGCACGUUGCGAACGCGGCCGGUGAGCAGACCUAGCAACCUCCAUUAAAAAGGAAGUUGCGUUACGCGGUCCAACCCGGCGCGCGCCGCUCAGUCGCUGACGUCACGAAGGCUUUGGCUGAUACCACAACGUCGAGUGCCCAUAAUUGUCCCCGCGUAAAUGGUUAGUGCGUAUAGGCCAGUAGCCAGACUCAGAUCAAAUACCAAGAUCUCGUUUAACGUGUUAUCUUGAAGACACCACGAACGCCGACCAGGGCCAGGCCCACCUCUCCCCUAGGUGGUCUCAACCUGCCCUGUCGCUCCGCCAUAAAGAUCCACCCAGAGGGCCGUCGCGACAAAGGUCCUUUCAGCCCCCAAUCCGUGAAUCACUCGCGGGUACUCCUCGAGCCAACCCAACUUUAGUCAUCACAUAUAUCAUGUAUAAAGUAUAGGUAUAUACCCGUGAUCAACUCCCGAGUGAUCACGGCCCGAUAGUAUAGCAUGGUAGACGAAUAAGAAUGUAUGGCCACUGAUGAUAAACUAGCAUCCUAUACUAAGCAUUUAGGAUUGCAGCUAAGGUAUCAACAGUUGUAGCAACAAUGACAGGCUAUGCACCAGGAUAGGAGUAUAGAGGAGAGUAGGCGUUAUCUGGUGAUCAAGGGGGGGGGGGAGCUUGCCUGGUUGCCCUGGCAAGGAGGGGUCGUCGUCGACGUAGUCGAUAACAAGGGCAGCAUCGGUAUCGGGGUCUAGCGGAGAGAAGAGGGGGAAGAAACAGUAAAUAUAAAGCAAACAUAGCACCACAAAGCAUAACAUGGCAAUAAGAUGUGCCGGGUGUGACCUAAUGCGGUAGGAGGUGAUACCGACGAAGGGGGGGAACAUCCGGGAAAGUAUCCCAGGUGUUUCGAUUUUUCGGACAGAUGAACCGGAGGGGAAACGUUGCGUGUUCGCUAUGCUAGCGAUGCGAGGCGGACGAACGGGCUGCGAAACCGGGUUCGUCUCGUCGUUCCGAGAAACUUUCAUGUACAAAGUUUUUCCAUCCGAACUACGGUUUAUUUUAUAAUGAUUUUUCAAAGUUUAAUUGAAUUCUUGGGAUUAUUAUAUUUAGCUUAAACCGAAUUGCCUAAGUUAAUUUUGACUAGUCAAAGGGCAGAUGUGGCCCACAUGUCAUAGACUAUUUACCUAAACAAUUAAACAAAUCUAACUUAUUUAAAAGGGCCUACACGUCAUCUACUACUAGACUAACUUAACACUAAUUAAACCUUGUAGUACUAAUCUAAGCUAGGGCCGGCCACUAAUGGGCAUAGCCCAACCGGCCACACGCAUGAUGCACACAUACACACACAGGAGCGCACGGCCAUGGCCAACUGUACGCACACACACUAUGCAGAACACACACUCACCCACACAUAGCUCUGUUUUCUGCUAACAAAAGAUAGCAUUUUGUGAUUUUCAUCGAAUUUAAUCUAUGCACUAAAAGGAUUUGGUCCAAUGAAAACAUUUGAGCAUUGUCAAGUGUACUACCUCCCCAUAAUUUUUUUAGUCCUGUUAGUAGUUGUUUAGCCUGAGUUUAGGGGCUGUAUAGGUGCUUAGUCAACGUAGAAAACCAAAAGCUAACUAGUAGCAGCUACAGUAGGUAGUAGUAGUACAAUAGAGCAGCGAGCAGCGUGGGCAGUGGCAUGGCUCGGGCGCCAUACGCGGGCGGGCACGGCAGCCGCAACGGCAGGCGAGGCCAUACUCGGGCGGGCGCGGGGUGCGGCUCAAUGGGCGCGGUGAGGCUGGCCGACAGCAGCAGGCACGGCCGUGGGCAUGCAGGCGGCGGCACGCAGUGCCAUCAGGGGCGAGCAGCGAGGACGCAACAGCAGCAAAGCAUCAGCAGCAUCAGUAGCAAGCGACGGCGGCGGCGGUGCAGUCGCUGUGGCGCAAACAGCAGCAGCAAGUAGGCAAGGGGAGGCAACAGCAAGAGUAGUACAGUAUGCAGAGCAGCAAGUAGAGUAACAGCAGCAUGGCGGAAGCAGCGGUGGCAGCACAAACAGAGUAGCAGCGAGCGGACGCGACACCAUGGCAGUACGCAAAAGCAACAACAGUACAGGGAGCAGCAACACAGCGGCAAGGCCGCGGGCGACUGUGGCACGGCACGCGUGAGCGUGCGGCCGAGCGAGCGGGCGGACGGCCGGGCAAGCCAGCACACCGGGGCGUAGUGGACAUGGGACUGGGCACGGUGCACGAGGUCGCGCAUGGGGCUGCUGGGAGCAGACGACGGUGGACGAGCUAGCGGUAGUCGGAGAUGAGGCCCGGGCGGGCGCACGCGACAGGGCGCAGGAGGCAGCAUCAACCGUACGCACGUACGCGUACGCGAGGUUCGGGCACGACGAAGACGGCGGCCUACAGCAUUCGGGGUGAGGGGAACAGAGGGGGUUUUUGUGAGGGAGCUCACAACAGAGACGAAGAGCAGCUCAGCGUGCUCGGGCACGGCUCGACGCUGCCUGAAUCGACGGGGAUGAUCGUCGGGGCCGAGGAAGAAGAAGAAGACGGGGGCGAAGAUGACGAGCUGCAACCUCCCAGCUCCGAUCCAGAAGUUGAGUCGAUGAAGAUGACUCCCGCGGAGCUCCUGGACAGGGUGGGGCUUCGAGAGAUGGGCUGCGGCCACGGGAUCGAUGGUGGCUCGACGUUGAUGGCGCUCGGCUAUGCGGGGGAGCGAGCAACGGCGGGAGGGAGGAAGAAGUGGCGGCUAGGGUUUGACCUGGGAAGAGAGGGGGGCUCGGGGUUGCCCUGGUAGUCAUUGGGGAGGCAGGGGAUGGCCGCCAC